GACGUAGGGCGCGAGCGUUGUCCGGAUUUAUUGGGCGUAAAGAGCUCGUAGGCGGCUCGUUGCGUCAACCGUGAAAACCCGGGGCUUAACUUCGGGCUUGCGGUUGAUACGGGCGGGCUGGAGUUCGGUAGGGGAGACUGGAAUUCCCGGUGUAGUGGUGAAAUGCGUAGAUAUCGGGAGGAACACCAGUGGCGAAGGCGGCUUUCUGGCCUGUUCUUGACGCUGAGGCGCGAAAGCUAGGGUAGCAAACGGG
rnacentral:rRNA from 1 species